rnacentral:rRNA from 1 species
AUCUCUGUAGAGUCUGCAUAUCAAUAAGCGGAGGAAAAGAAACUAACUAGGAUUCCCUUAGUAACGGCGAGUGAAGCGGGAAGAGCUCAAAUUUGAAAUCUUCAAGGUUUUACCUUGACGAAUUGUAGUUUAAAGAAGUGUUUUCUGUUGGUGUUUUGGUAAAAGUUCUUUGGAAUAGGACAUCAUAGAGGGUGAGAAUCCCGUAUUUGACCAUUACUUCCAGCGUUGUGGAUACACUUUCAAAGAGUCGGAUUGUUUGGGAAUGCAGUCCAAAAUGGGUGGUAAAUUUCAUCUAAAGCUAAAUAUUGGCGAGAGACCGAUAGCGAACAAGUACCGUGAGGGAAAGAUGAAAAGAACUUUGAAAAGAGAGUUAAACAGUACGUGAAAUUGUCAAAAGGGAAGCGUUUGACACCAGUGUUGUUUUCUCGAAAAUCAAUUAAAAAAAGUUGGAUUUUGUAUUGUUAAGACCUUAUCAGCUUACUGUACUCUUUUCUUGCUUUUUUUAAUACACUUUUCGUUUAACAAGUCAACAUCAAUUUCUUUUGUUGUAAAAGAGUCAUUGGAAGGUGGCUUUCACUUCGGUGAAAGUGUUUAUAGCCUUUGGCUUCUGCAAUCGGAGAGAUUGAGGUCUGCAGCGUAGAUCCUUCGGGGCUAGAUACGUAGAUGCUAAGUUAUAGUUUUUUAUAGACAACUUGUUGACUAUGAUUAAGUCAUGUAGCUUACUCGUUAUGCCUAUUUUACCUACGCUUAGGAUGUUGACGAUCAGCUGAGCGCG